CGGAGGGCGUAGCGUUGUUCGGAAUUACUGGGCGUAAAGCGCACGUAGGCGGACUGGAAGUCAGGGUGAAAUCCCGGGCUCAACCCGGAACUGCCUUUGAAACUCCCGGUCUUGAGGUCGAGAGAGGUGAGUGGAAUUCCGAGUGUAGAGGUGAAAUUCGUAGAUAUUCGGAGGAACACCAGUGGCGAAGGCGGCUCACUGGCUCGAUACUGACGCUGAGGUGCGAAAAGCGUGGGGAGCAAACAGGAUU
rnacentral:rRNA from 1 species